rnacentral:rRNA from 1 species
AGAGCGAACGCUGGCGGCAGGCCUAAUACAUGCAAGUCGAACGGAUCCUUCGGGAUUAGUGGCGGACGGGUGAGUAACACGUGGGAACGUGCCCUUUGGUUCGGAACAACUCAGGGAAACUUGAGCUAAUACCGGAUAAGCCCUUCGGGGGAAAGAUUUAUCGCCAUUGGAGCGGCCCGCGUCUGAUUAGCUAGUUGGUGGGGUAAAGGCCUACCAAGGCUACGAUCAGUAGCUGGUCUGAGAGGAUGAUCAGCCACACUGGGACUGAGACACGGCCCAGACUCCUACGGGAGGCAGCAGUAGGGAAUCUUGCGCAAUGGGCGAAAGCCUGACGCAGCCAUGCCGCGUGAAUGAUGAAGGUCUUAGGAUUGUAAAAUUCUUUCAGCGGGACGAUAAUGACGUACCCGCAGAAGAAGCCCCGGCUAACUUCGUGCCAGCAGCCGC